UUUGAUCGACCCCAACCAUAACGGCCGAUCCAUUGGCCGGUCCUGCCCAUACGUCGCCAACAACGCCUGGGCCUC
rnacentral:antisense_RNA from 1 species